GCAGAAGCGGGUGAACACCUCCCUCAUGUUGCCUCCUUUCUGCAUGCUGAUGACACGCAGGUGAUCCUCCUCGUUCACCCAAACCAGGAAGGUCUUGUUGUCGUUGUGCCUGCAGGCCGACGAGAGGGAAAGGUUAACGACAGCGAAACAGGAAGCUGAGGCGCUCCAGAGACAACAUGCAGGUCAAACGUCAGCGUCAUACUGACCAGAUGCCACGGCCAUCGGGCCAGUCGCGGGCCAUGCCGGACGCCAGCAGCAGUGGGGAGACGGGCUUAUCGAACAGGAAGUGGUCAUCAAUCAGCUGCUGCUGCUCCUCGUCCGUCAUGUUCUUCAGGGCGUAGUACUUCCCGUUCAGGUCUCCGU